UUCGUUCAACUUAUCACACUUUCCUUGGCCCAUAAUGUUCGUUUGGUAAGCGUAAAAAUGAUCUCUGUCAAUAUUUAUUGAUAAUAAAUAGAACUAUAUAUAAAUUAAAUAAUAUUUUCAUGGGAUUUAUGUUCUUCUUUCUAUAGUUGCUUCCUAGAUGUUUUGUGCGUUGCUUGGGACGUGAGCUCAGUGAUACAGUA
rnacentral:lncRNA from 1 species